ACAACUGCAGCUCAGUUGGUUAGAGCACUGCACUCGAAUCACAGGGACGCAGGUUCGAUUCCUGCCAGAUGGC